AGCGAACGCUGGCGGCAGGCCUAACACAUGCAAGUCGAACGAAGCCUUCGGGCUUAGUGGCGGACGGGUGAGUUACACGUGGGAACGUACCUUUUGGUUCGGAAUAACGCAGAGAAAUUUGCGCUAAUACCGAAUGAGCCCUUCGGGGGAAAGAUUUAUCGCCGAAAGAUCGGCCCGCGUUGGAUUAGGUAGUUGGUGUGGUAAAGGCGCACCAAGCCUACGAUCCAUAGCUGGUCUGAGAGGAUGAUCAGCCACACUGGGACUGAGACACGGCCCAGACUCCUACGGGAGGCAGCAGUGGGGAAUCUUGCGCGAUGGGCGAAAGCCUGACGCAGCCAUGCCGCGUGAAUGAUGAAGGUCUUAGGAUUGUAAAAUUCUUUUACCAGGGACGAUAAUGACGGUACCUGGAGAAAAAGCCCCGGCUAACUUCAUGCCAGCCGCCGCCGUAA
rnacentral:rRNA from 1 species